GUCAGUGUAGUAUAGUGGUUUGAGUGUUAGACUAUGACUCUGGAGACCAGGGUUUCAAUCCCUGUUCAGUCA